UGGGGAAUCUUGCGCAAUGGGCGAAAGCCUGACGCAGCAACGCCGCGUGCGGGAUGAAGGCCUUAGGGUCGUAAACCGCUUUCAGGGGGGACGAAGCUACCUGGGUUAAUAGCCCGUGGGGUGACGGUACCUUCAGAAGAAGCCCCGGCUAACUACGUGCCAGCAGCCGCGGUAAUACGUAGGGGGCGAGCGUUGUCCGGAAUCAUUGGGCGUAAAGCGCGUGUAGGCGGCUUGGCAAGUCUUGCGUGAAAUCCUGCGGCUCAACCGCAGGCCUGCGCGGGAUACUGCCUCGCUAGAGUCCGGAAGAGGAGAGUGGAAUUCCCAGUGUAGCGGUGGAAUGCGCAGAUAUUGGGAGGAACACCCGUGGCGAAGGCGGCUCUCUGGGACGGUACUGACGCUGAGACGCGAAAGCGUGGGGAGCGAACAG
rnacentral:rRNA from 1 species